UCCUUUUUUUAAGUUCGGUGUAAUCGGGUACUAGUCCUUUUCUCAACGAGCUGACUUAGAGCAUCCACAGUCGGAGGUUGCAAAUUUAGACUCUCAAAUGCCCGUAGACGUGUCCGGACACGCCUGCGGACACUGACCGGGCGUGUCUUAAAUUUUACAAUCUACAACCAUGUAUCCUAAUCUCAAAACAUCUAUUAGAUGCAGGGCCAUCCACGUCAAUCAUUUUGUUCGCCUUGGGCCGGCUCGGCACCGAAAAUUGCUCAUACUUAAUAUUUUCACAUCCAUAUUGGUCCCACCUUGCCGACUGAGAGCUAGUUGACCAACUUAAAUAUCCGGGUCGCCCAAAAGGGAUAAGCUUCUGACAACAUUGCAUCCUUUGUUAAGGAUAUGGACUCUUACUAUGAAUCUUCUAUGUUUAUCACAUAGAAGAUUUAUUAUAGUCAGGGUCUAUACCUUUCGCAUAGGGAACAUUGGUGCCGGCUUGUCUUUUUUUGAAUCAUGUCCAUGCAUCAAAACAAAAUAAAAAUCUAGUGUCAUUGUAGUAGAGGUAUCAACAUAUAUGAUCGAGACAAACUUGACACUCGAUGAACAAUCAUCAGUCAAUGAAAUACAAUCUAGUGUCAAAUAUAUCUCGAUCACACAUGCCAGAAUUGAUAGACCUACACAACAACAACCAAGCUUGCCGCCAUCCGCUGGUGUAGCUAUUUAAGUUGGGCGGCAUCCGCCUCGGCCGGCGAUGUGGGACUAAAAUUUGGUUGCACCAAUGAGAGAUGGAGAAGCUUCGGUCGCUGCAGGUGGGACCACUACGACCUGCAGCGGGGUCGGCGGGCGUGUUCGGGCGCCCUCAUAUCCGUCUCAUAUUUGGGUUAAAUAUGAGGGGUGUCGGUCAGCCCGGGCAUUCGAGACGCCCGUCUGGGUCAAAAAAUCGUGACAGGGCAAGUGGCCAGACGGCCCGCCCGGGCGUAUGAGGUGGGUUUGAGAGGUCCGGUUGUAGAUGCUGUUAUUAAUCAAGUAUGGAAACAAUACAACUUAGAAAAAAAUAAAACAUAUGUGAGCAACAGAGCACCAUGUCAAAAACAAAGCACCAUUAUUUUGCUCAAGUGUUUUGGUGCAAGAUUGGUAUGCUUAGAUGUGCUUUUGACUAUUUUUUAAAAGUAAAUGCUUUUGCACUAUAAUAAGUUAAGAAGAGAAGCUAUCCAACCUAUCAUUGAUAGGAUCAUUAAGAACAUUUCUCGGUGGAUGAGUAACCAUCUCUCAAUAUGGGUCUGUGGGCUUCAUGGAGUAAGAGGUAUUUCUCUGGUGGUAAAAAUUGGGAAAACGUUCUUCAUUUCAAAUAUGGAAUUUCUAGACCUAAUUUGCUUUCGUCUAAAACUGGCAAUUUUGUUUAGGGAUUUCAAUAUUGCUCUGUUGACUUCAUGGAGUAGGAGGUAUUUCUCCGGUGGUGAUAAAAAUUGGCAAAAACAAGUCUAGGUUUUAAAUAUGUAACUUCUAGACCUAAUUUGAUUUUGUCUAAAACUGGCAUUGGUUCCCGUUUUCGGAAAGGGAUAACUUGCACCAUAACUGCUUCUACAACUUUUAACAGAUAGAGACUAGGAAAUGGAGUUAAUAUUAGCUUCUGGGGUGAUAUUUGGUUAGAGGAUUUGUUCCUUGGAAACAGAUAGGGCGAUUCAGUGGAGCUGCUCUUGCCCAUGAAGAGUAGCAAAAAUAAAAAUAAUCUGCAAAUUUUCAACAUCCAAGAUAUUCGGGUGUGCAAUGCGUGUGCGAAUGUUCAUUGUGUUUGGACAUUUUGAGGUCAUGAUGAAAAAACAAAACUUGUCACUUAAAGAAACUUUGAAAAAAAAAAAACACCGUUUAGAAACUUUUUUUUUUGUUUUGCUAGAGCUCCUCGGAUGUCCAAACACCAUGAAAAUUUGCCUGCACCCGAGCAUCUUGGAUGCCAAAAGAAGUAGGAGGUAUUUCUCUGGUAGUGAUAAAAAUUGGCAAAAAGAGUCUAGGUUUCAAUUAUGUAACUUCUAGACCUAAUUUGAUUUUGUCUAAAACUGGCAUCGGUUCCCGUUUUCGGGAGGGAUAACUUGCACCAUAACUGCUUCUACAACUUUUUACAGAUGGAGAGUAGGAAAUGGACUUAAUAUUAGCUUCUGCGAUGAUAUUUGGUCAGGGGAUUGUUCCUUGAAAACAGACAGGGCGAUUCAAUCUGAGCUACUCUUGCCCAUGAAGAGUAGCAAAAAAGAAAAAAUAAUUCUGAAAAUUUUCAACGUCCAAGAUAUUCGGGUGUGCAAUGCGCGUGCAAAUGUUCGUGGUGUUUGGACAUUUGAGGAGGUCGUGACGAAAAAACAAAACUUGCCACUCAAAGAAACUUUGAAAAAAAUGCACUGUUUAGAAACUUUUUUUUUUGUUUUGCUAGAGCUCCUCAGAUGUCCAAACACCAUGAAAAUUUGCCCGCAUCCGAGCAUCUUGGAUGCCAAAAAAAGAAAAUCGGAUUCUUUUGAAUUUUCUUUUUUAUCACUGUUCAUCGGGUGUAGAUGAGCCUGAGCUCAGAUAGCAAUUACAAUUUGUUUAUAUAUAUGUAAUCAACAGGAUUGUUCAGUAUCCCAGGUCUGGGAUGGACCAACCUGAAGUUCUUUUCAGGAGAUGUGUAGAUGUGAAGCUUUUCUGAGAUUAGCAAAAAUUGCUUUGCUUGUUAGAAACUGUGACUCUUCCUUCUUAUAGAGAUUGCCCAGUCUGGCUAUUGGAGCCUUCUGGCUGUUAUUCUGUUAAGUCCUUCUAUAAUGCCAUAAUCUUUGGACAUGUGGUCUCACCCCAAGAAUUGAUUAGGAAGAUUUUGACUCCUCAAAAAAAUUAUGUAUUCCUUUGGUUGUGUUUUAUAAGCAAAAAUCAACUACGGAUAAUAAUCUAGCUAAGAGAUGGACUGUCGAUGACAUGGCUUUCUAUAAUUGCAACCGACAAAGCUGACACGAUUAGGAGGCCUCUAGUUUGCUCUUGCGGCAGCUGGUCUAAAGACUUGUGGGCUUUCCUUUUCAGACACCAGGACUUGUCGCUUGUUUGUUGCUUAGGACGAACACGUUCCAAUCAAGUGUUUCAAGACAAAAAUAGCAAGGUUGAGAAUGAAUAAUCUCUGUUCGCUUUAUUCAGUAGAAAUGCUUACAGAAUGUCAAGUUUCUGACUCAAGCAAAGCAGCAAACAAACCUUUGUAGGAGAAAAAGAGAAUUACUGUUCACUCAGGGCAAGCCGUGGGAAAAAAAGGACUCACGCCACAUAAGAAUACGCACUCACAAACCACAAGGAGAAAAGAGGGGAGAAAAAGAAAAUGUACACUUCAGUUAGCGACAGUCUUCGGCGCACAGCGAGGAUUA
rnacentral:lncRNA from 1 species